rnacentral:rRNA from 1 species
UAGGGAAUAUUGGACAAUGGGGGCAACCCUGAUCCAGCCAUGCCGCGUGAGUGAAGAAGGCCCUCGGGUUGUAAAGCUCUUUUGUCCGGAAAGAAAAGCAUUCGGUGAAUACCCGGAUGUUCUGACGGUACCGGAAGAAUAAGCACCGGCUAACUUCGUGCCAGCAGCCGCGGUAAUACGAAGGGUGCAAGCGUUACUCGGAAUUACUGGGCGUAAAGCGUGCGUAGGUGGUUGUUUAAGUCUGAUGUGAAAGCCCUGGGCUCAACCUGGGAAUGGCAUUGGAAACUGGGCAGCUAGAGUGCGGUAGAGGGUAGUGGAAUUCCCGGUGUAGCAGUGAAAUGCGUAGAGAUCGGGAGGAACGUCUGUGGCGAAGGCGACUGCCUGGACCAGCACUGACACUGAGGCACGAAAGCGUGGGGAGCAAACA